rnacentral:rRNA from 1 species
ACACGACUACAUUAGAUACCCGCGUAGUCCUGGCCGUAAACGAUGUGGACUUGGUGUUGGAAUGGCUCCGAGCUGCUCCAGUGCCGAAGGGAAGCUGUUAAGUCCACCGCCUGGGAAGUACGGUCGCAAGGCUGAAACUUAAAGGAAUUGGCGGGGGAGCACCACAACGGGUGGAGCUUGCGGUUUAAUUGGAUUCAACGCCGGAAAUCUUACCGGGACCGACAGCAACAUGAAGGCCAGGCUGAAGACUUUGCCGGAUUAGCUG